rnacentral:lncRNA from 1 species
AGCGAAGGGCUGGAGGCAAACACCGAGCUCCCCCUGAGCCGCCUGGGAGCAGGGAGGGUUCUGCUACCCUGAGGGGCCCUCCCCGCGGGGCAGAGGGGACCAGCCCAACAUGGCUUCCAACACAGAGACCAGAAGGACCCAAUAAGAGACCGAAGACACGACUGAUAAUACAGAAAGGAGGGUGAUGCUGUGUGCAAGGCAGAUACAAGAUGGUUUUUCCAUAAGAGGAAGUGAUCAUGGCAACCAUGACCUUCUCUGACCUUCUCUCUUCCAAGAGGCUGUUGGGAAGGUGGGAUGACCUAGGAUUGACCUUGGACUUGACAUCACAGAAGCCAUUUCAACCUUCACAGGUGGGAGGAAGUCACAGCAUCUACUUCUGAAUCUGUGCUUGCCUUGAGGAAAAACGGCAUGGCACAGGAAUGUGGACGCUUUCAACCAGAGGAUUCUGUACGACGGUGUCGGCACACAAGGAGUGUUCCACUGACUGACCUCUUUUUGUUUUCAAAUGAAGAGGAGCCAAGAAUAGGACAGCUUGGGAAGGUGAGCUGCGUAUAGCUCGUCAGGCUGAGCUCAUCCUCGUCUACGGCCAAACGUUGGUUUCUCAUUUCUAGAAGAUGAAAGAUGUGAUGACUCAGGAAAAACUGGAAUCUUAGUAACUGUGGUGGGCAUUGAGCCUUGCCGUCCACAAGAGAAAGCUUGCUGCUCGAGAUGUGAGUCUUCAGAUGUUCCUGCCGCCAUAUCUGACAGCUGCUGCCAAGAUUCCCUGGUGGGAUGGACUCUUAUACCUCAACAACCAGAAGCCCAAGUAAACUCUUCUAUAAAUUGAAUGACUCAUGCUUAAAAAAAAAAA